AUAAGGUAUCUACGGGGUAUCGCUGAGUUUAUCACCACGUUACAUUUACUUUUUUGCCGCAGCGCAUUUGUUGUCCAACACUUGUUUUACUUACUUCGUUUCCUAGCAACGCUGAGUUUCCAAAAGGAGAUGGAGUAAAAUCUGACAGCAGUAGCUACUCUGCUACAGUAUACUGCACAGUACAGUAUUAGUACAGUAUACUGUAUACUGCAGUGUUUGUGCAGUAUGAUAUUCAUAUCUCGAUAAUUAUUCUACUUUGCACAAUGUCUCGGAGACAAGCUAUGGCUGUAGCAAACACAAAGUCUGCUCUGGAGGAGGGCGAACUUCAACACUGUCUCCCACAAAUAUACAAGGCCUUACUGACAGCUUCAUGUCUGUCAUGUCCCAGUGACCCGAUACAGUUUCUGAAAAACACCCUGACAGCCUUCCAGGGACAUGAUAAUCUUCAGGAUGUGGACUGGCACAUGUUUGUUGCUGAUGUCGAACAUCGGGCUGUGGCAUCAUCUCUGGCACGUAGGACUGUGUGCCCUGUCUCUAUGGACCAAGAUGACGACAUGGUGUCCUUUUCGCUGUUCGAGAAGGCCUACUCCUGUUACAGGAAAAAUUUAGCAAGCUCUUGCCUCAGGAAGUGGAAGAGGUUCACUAUGCAGAGAAAGAGAGAUGCCAUAGAGCUGGCUCUGAAGAUGGACCUGACAAAGAAGCAUUAUGAAAGGAAAUGCCAGCAGGUUGCACUCACCAAAUGGUCAAACUGGACAAAAAUACAGAAGACGACACGAGCUGUUGCAGAGAAAAAACUUGAGAGACUUGUUAUCACUGCACGCCUUAAGCGCUUCGUAGCUGCAUGGCGUAUUCUUGCAAAGGAAUCAAAGAGGACAAAAGAGUACUUUAAGAGUUUGGAAGCCAGCAAAAAAAUCGACUGGACUAUGGAAGGAUGUGAUGGAUUCUCUGUGAUCCCCAGCCGCCUCUCACUGAAGAUCUUUCAGUACUUAGAGUUGAGAGACUGGCUAAAUUGUGCUGAAGUGAAUUGCACAUGGAGAUCUAUCAUCCAGUCGAGCACAUUGUGGAGUCAGAUCAACUUCUCUGUAGAGAAAGACUGGAUAACAGACAGCACAGUGAAGCAGAUUCUGCAGAAUUAUCGCCCAUAUGUGAUCCAUCUCAACCUGCGUGGCUGCACGUCCCUAAAAUGGCCCAGCUUGAAAUGUAUCAGUGAAUGCAGAAAUCUCCAGGAGCUCAAUGUGUCAGAGUGCUUUAGUGUUACAGAUGUGAUGAUCCAGAAAAUUGUCGAGGGCUGUCCCUGCCUGCUCUACUUGAACCUUUCUUGCACACUCAUCACAAACAAAACUCUACAUGAACUGUCCAGGAACUGUCUGAACCUUCAAUACCUGAGUCUUGCCUACUGCUACAGAUUCACAGAUAAAGGAUUUAUGUACCUGACCACAGGGAAGGGCUGCCACAAUCUCUUCCACCUCAAUCUGUCCGGAUGCACUCAGAUGACAGUAGAUGGGUUUCGAUACAUUUCUGCUGGAUGUCCCUCACUCAAAGAGAUUGUGAUCAAUGACAUGCCAACGCUGUCAGAUAGCUGUGUUUUGGCACUAAUUGCCAGAUGUCGAUGUCUGUCUGCCAUUUCUCUGCUGGAUGCUCCUCAUCUUUCCGAUGUUGCCUUCAAGGCCAUCGCUGAAGUAGCCAAGCUGAAGACGUUUAGCACAGAGGGUAAUAACCAGCUAACAGACAUCAGCUGGAUAGCCCUGUGUCGCAGCUCUCAAGGCCUCCGCAGGAUCCACGCCGCAGAGUGCCCCAGAAUGACCGACGCCAGCCUCAAAUCUGCGGCCGCCCUCAAGAACCUGCAACACCUGGACAUCUCACUUUGUAGCAAGGUGAGUGAUACUGGGAUCAAGUAUUUGACUGAAGGUUUCUCAACCACCAAACUGAGAGAGCUGAAUGUGAGUCACUGUUGUCACAUCACUGACACAUCUGUCAGGAGGAUUGCACAAAGGUUGUGUAAACUGUACCAUCUCAACUUGAGUUACUGUGAGAGACUGACUGACAUGAGUCUGCAGUGGCUGAGUGGCAGCUCUGUCUGCUCUCUUGACAUCGGCGGUUGCAACAUCCAGGAUGAGGGGCUUGCAGCUUUUGAGCGAAUUGGUUUGAAGAAGUUGGUCCUCGCUGAGUGUGUCUACAUCACAGACAUUGGCAUAGAGAAGCUGUGCAAGAAUGUGAGAGGUCUGGAACAUGUUGAUGUGUCUCACUGUGUAGCUCUGUCAGACCCGGCCAUCAGAUCCAUUUCAUUUUACUGCAGAGGUCUAGUCAUACUGAGGAUGUCAGGUUGUCCAAAGAUGACAGAUAUGGCAGUGCAGUAUCUGACAAGUGGAUCUCAGUACCUGCGAGAACUUGAUGUGAGUGGCUGCGUUCUUCUCACAGAUCGCUCUCUCCGACACUUGGAGAAGAUCUGUCCUCCAUUCUGCUCCAUCACAAUGGCCUUCUGUAGCAGCAUCUCCAAGGUAGCCGCCUUAAAGCUUCAGCCACGUGUGAAGUAUUGGGAACACAGCAAUGACGACCCUCCAUACUGGUUUGGAUACAGCAGCAUUGGCCAAACGCAUGCAGUCACAAGAUCCACCAGGACCGAUGACACUUGGGAAGUGGCGGAGCGGCACUCAGCGAUGACAUGAGACGCAAUCUGGAUUUCAUCAGCUCGUGACAGUGGAAUGUCCUGUGCCACUGACCCUGCUGACUGUAGUGGAUUAAUAACUCUUAUCUAGUGCAUAAACAUUUCUAAUGUCCACUCUGAAUUCACAACCUCUGGGCUGAUAUCCACCGACGCUCCACAGAGCUCCACCCCAGCUUUCAACGAGGAGGGGACACGGACACACACUGCUCCUACGUAUGACAGAAGAAAAAAUAAAG